rnacentral:rRNA from 1 species
UGGGGAAUAUUGGGCAAUGGAGGAAACCCUGACCCAGCGACGCCGCGUGCGGGAUGAAGGCCUUCGGGUUGUAAACCGCUUUCAGCAAGGAAGAAGCGAAAGUGACGGUACUUGCAGAAGAAGCACCGGCUAACUAUGUG